AAUUGAUUCUGCAAAUUUGCAGUCAAACUUAGGCACAGGAACACUACUCCCAAAUACAGGUACAAAGACAAAAGCACAAUCACAAACACCAUUCUUGGGGCAGAACACAGAGCCAUUAAUUUGUGGGAGCCCAACUGAUGGUUUUACCUCUCAAAACACUGUACUAAAUAAAUCCGUAACUAAUGGUUCAAUGAGGUUGGUAGAGUCAAAAUUAAUCACAGAAUCACCGCUUAAACACAUUGGUGCAGAAGUACAGCUACACAUGUCGUUCUUGAAGCAGAG